rnacentral:rRNA from 1 species
AUUGAACGCUGGCGGUAGGCCUAACACAUGCAAGUCGAACGCGAAAGUCCUUCGGGAUGAGUAGAGUGGCGGACGGGUGAGUAACGCGUAGGAAUCUAUCCUGUAGUGGGGGAUAACGUUUCGAAAGGAACGCUAAUACCGCAUACGCCCCAAGGGGGAAAGCGGGGGAUCUUCGGACCUCGUGCUAUAGGAGGAGCCUGCGUCGGAUUAGCUAGUUGGUGAGGUAAAGGCUCACCAAGGCGACGAUCCGUAGCUGGUCUGAGAGGAUGAUCAGCCACACUGGGACUGAGACACGGCCCAGACUCCUACGGGAGGCAGCAGUAGGGAAUAUUGGACAAUGGGCGCAAGCCUGAUCCAGCCAUGCCGCGUGUGUGAAGAAGGUCCUUUUGGUUGUAAAGCACUUUAAGCGAGGAGGAGGCUACUUGGAUUAAUACUCUAGGAUAGUGGACGUUACUCGCAAGAAUAAGCACCGGCUAACUCUGUGCCAGCAGCCGCGGU